CGUGGGUAACCUGCCCAAGAGAUCGGGAUAACACCUGGAAACAGAUGCUAAUACCGGAUAACAACAGAUGAUGCCUAUCAACUGUUUAAAAAGAUGGUUCUGCUAUCACUCUUGGAUGGACCUGCGGUGCAUUAGCUAGUUGGUAGGGUAACGGCCUACCAAGGCGAUGAUGCAUAGCCGACGUUGAGAGACUGAUCGGCACAUUGGGACUGAGACACGGCCCAAACUCCGUACGGGAGGCAGCAGGU
rnacentral:rRNA from 1 species